rnacentral:rRNA from 1 species
CCUACGGGUGUCUGCAGUGAGGAAUAUUGGUCAAUGGGCGCGAGCCUGAACCAGCCAAGUAGCGUGAAGGCUGACUGCCCUACGGGUUGUAAACUUCUUUUAUAAAGGAAUAAAGUGAGGCCCGUGUGCCUUUUUGUAUGUACUUUAUGAAUAAGGAUCGGCUAACUCCGUGCCAGCAGCCGCGGUAAUACGGAUGAUCCGAGCGUUAUCCGGAUUUAUUGGGUUUAAAGGUAGCGUAGAUGGGUUGUUAAGUCAGUUGUGAAAGUGUGCGGCUCAACCGUAAAAUUGCAAUUGAUACUGGCAGCCUUGAGUACAGUUGAGGUAGGCGGAAUUCGUGGUGUAGCGGUGAAAUGCUUAGAUAUCACGAAGAACUCCGAUUGCGAAGGCAGCUUACUAAACUGCCACUGACAUUGAUGCUCGAAAGUGUGGGUAUCAAACAGGAGUAGAUACCCGAGUAGUC